CUUGCUUGGGGUACUCGAGUGGCGAACGGGUGAGUAAUACGUGGGUAACCUGCCCUCUUCUUUGGGAUAAGCCCCGGAAACGGGGUCUAAUACCGGAUAUUCUGCUUCUGCCGCAUGGUGGGGGUUGGAAAGGUUUUUCGGUGGGGGAUGGGCCCGCGGCCUAUCAGCUUGUUGGUGGGGUGAUGGCCUACAAGGCUUCGACGGGUAGCCGGCCUGAGAGGGUGACCGGCCACAUUGGGACUGAGAUACGGCCCAGACUCCUACGGGAGGCAGCAGC
rnacentral:rRNA from 1 species